GUCUGUGUGAGUAGAUCUCAUUAAGCCAGCGCAGACUCAAACGCGCAAACAGAUGUGCGCGGAUUUGUGAACUUGGCACGGGCAGGCGAGCCUCUCAACGCAGCCAAAUCCGCAGGAUCUUUGUUUUGCAACUUCCCACCUCCGUGUAACUCCGGCAGCCCACGCGCGCUGCUGGCGCAUUAACCGUGCGGCAAUGUGACGUGCUCUGAUUUGAGGAACCGUGCGCUGCAGGGGGACCGAGAUUAGAGAGCCGUGUGAAGAGGGAGAAGAAAUGUCAGCCGCUGGUUUGAAGCGUUCAUGCUUCGGCUGGGGUCGCAGGAUGAGCUCGAGGCACGUGGGGUCGCGGGCGCAGGGGCCCCGUGCAGUCUCGUACCUAGUGGGGCGGCAAAUAAUGAGAUGUAAUAGCCCUUCGUCAUGUGUUAUCAAUAGGGGGAAUAAUACGGACACGAUCAGCGAAUGCACCGCAAACUCUUUGAGCGACUUGGAGGACAAUUACUCAAAAUCCACAUCAGACAGGCCGUAAUUGCAAAUCCAUUUACUGUGCGCUGAGAAUAAUGAGGAAACUGCAGAGGUGAAGAGUUUUUCCCUUCUUUCCGACGGAGCCGGUUAAUGUCUUUAAACGAGGACAAAUCAAAUAUGUUCAGCUAACGCAGCAGAAGCUUUAUGAUGUAAGUCUUGAUAACAUUUUGGGUCCCUAUACGGGAGAUUAUUAAAGGUGGAGCUCUGGAAACUCCACUCAGACUUCUCUCAUGAAAUGUGCGCUUGUAAAAACCCAAGUGCUCCUCUGAGGGCGUCUGCCUUCACUUCAGAGCUGUGCUGCCAGUCCUGGGAUUUGUAAGACAUAGUUUGGAAUACUUCUGAAUCGUUCAGUGGACGAGUCUUAAACUGAUGUUAUUCUAGGAACUAGCUUAGAGGAAGACACUCAUCAGAUUGAUUGAUUUAUCAAAGCAUUGCUGGAUGCCAGCACAGCCAACAGUGUGUGAUGUAAAAUAUGGAUAAAAUGUAGAGCAAGUGCACUGUGCACAUAAUAUAUAACUGCUUUCAGCAGUCAUUAAAAUCAUCAUACUACAUAUAUGCACGAUUACAGCUGGAAAGAUGCUAACUUUAUUUCCAAAAUACUAAAAUUAUGCAUAGCCUAGUGUGUCAAUUUAAUACACGUUAGUUGAUGUCAAAGCAUUUGUAAGAUAUGAGCAAAUUAAAUAGUCUAGCACAUUUAAUAGCAUUGCACAUUUAAGUACAACAGUUUGAAC
ensembl:lncRNA